rnacentral:lncRNA from 1 species
AACACUUUUUAGUUUGCAAUUUUUUUUUUUCUUUUUUCAGUGAUAUCACAAAUACGGGAGAAUCUGAAAGCAGACCAGACAGGCAAGAAGUGACUGACAACAAUUUCAAGUGCAAUGCUUUUUAUUCUAUGGACAGAGGACGUUUCAUGAAAUCCAAUCUAGCCAGUGAAUCGAGUACUUGCCUUGUUUUUUUUUUUUAAAUGGGGCUUGGGAAUAUCUUUACAGCAUUGGUAAUGGCGAGAAGAAAACAAAUACCCCGUCACUUUUUGCAAAGGCAAGUGGCCUAGGUAACAACUAUUCCCACAUAUUUUUUUAGCCUUGUCCAUGUAUGAGAUGUCUCGUUGGCUUUCUUAGACAUAAUUUCCAUGAAAAGAAAAAUGACAAAUUUUGUCAUUUUUUUAAAAUACAUUGAGGUCUCUAAUUUCCAUUAAAAUAUGAUAUAAUAAUGUUAGCGGUGUAGUGAUUGAGAUCCAUACAAAAGGGUUCCAACAAUUCAGCUGAUUGGUGGGCAUCUUUACUUUGGCAGUCGCAUCUGGGAUCAGUGGCUAAUUUGUUGUAUUAUUGACUGUCCAUUGUGGUUUCCAAUUGGAGCGUCCAUUUAUAUUUUUUAUGCAGCGUCCGAUGGUAGGCUGAGCAUGAUUCGCU